GCACUAUAACUCCUCCCAUUAAUAGCUACACCCACAUAUACCUUUAACCAAUCAAUGAGCAGAAUAUAGACUUGUACAUCUAGUCAAACCACAUGGCUCAUCCAAGACAAAGGAAAUAAGUGCAAUUUCAGUUCCUGCAUUCCUGCACAUGCUCAGUACACUGAUGACAGUAUCCUAGCUACAUGUAGCUAACCAACUGACACAACAUACACAUAUGCCACAUGGAGAUUUUGGCCUACUAAAUUUUAACCAUGCUGGAAACCCAUCACAAUAGAAGGUUUUCUUUGUUUUUUUGGAAUUAUAUUAAGAUGUUAAUAAGAAUUAUUAAUGUGCAAUCCAUGUGUUAUUAUCACUAUCUACUGCUGUUUUAUGAGUUAUUUGGAUAAGUUAUUUUUUUAACUAGAGGAUUAGCUUUAUGCUAUAUUUGGUUUUUUUUCUGUUUCAUAUGUUAUGGACUUUCAAAAUAUAGACAUUUAUAAGAUCUACCCCUAAUCAGUUUAUGGGGAGUUUCUAUAAUGAUUGAUACAAACCAC